GACGAACGCUGGCGGCGUGCUUAACACAUGCAAGUCGAACGGGCCUUGUCCCCUUUUUUUUGGGGGUGGGGUUAGUGGCGAACGGGUGAGUAACACGUGAGUAACCUGCCCCUCACUUCUGGAUAACCGCUUGAAAGGGUGGCUAAUACGGGGUGUUCUGGCCUGCUCGCAUGGGUGGGUUUGGAAAGAUUCGACCGGUUUUGGUUGUUUUGGUGGGGGAUGGGCUCGCGGCCUAUCAGCUUGUUGGUGGGGUGAUGGCCUGCCAAGGCGUUGACGGGUAGCCGGCCUGAGAGGGUGGGCGGUCACACUGGGACUGAGACACGGCCCAGACUCCUACGGGAGGCAGCAGUGGGGAAUAUUGCACAAUGGGCGCAAGCCUGAUGCAGCGACGCCGCGUGAGGGAUGGAGGCCUUCGGGUUGUGAACCUCUUUCGCCAGUGAAGAAGGUCCUGCUCUUUGUGGUGGGGUUGACGGUAGCUGGGUUAAUGAAGCGCCGGCUAACUACGUG
rnacentral:rRNA from 1 species